rnacentral:lncRNA from 10 species
CUUCACCUUGCCCUUUCCUAGCCUCUGUGAGGAAACUGAGGCACUGGAAGAUGAAGGCUACAGAGGUAGAAAGUGAUGGAGGAGAUACAUCCAGAAGACUGCAUUACAAUUUCAAAUCAAAGCUGGACAAGUUUUUUUUUUUUUUUACACAGAUAUCACCAUGUUAGAAAAGUUGGACAAGUUUUGAAACCAUUCUGAACCUAUCAUUCCUGUCUUUCAAAUCCUUCCAAGGCA